UCACGUGACGUGACCUGACGUGUAACCAACAUGGCGACGCAGUGCUGAGAUAGCAGUGUUCAUCAUCUCUGAUUGACCGAGUCGGACUGUCGGCCCGGUUUUGUUUUGACUCGCUGACACCUGCUCCUGUGCAGGUCCAGGCCGACAAUGACGGCCUGAGAGCGCUGCAGUUCGGUCAAGAGAUGAAACAGCAGCUCAGUUUCGAACAACAGCAACGGCACCAGAAGCAGACCGAAAGCACUAAAACCAAGAGCAUGUUUCUGUCUCGGGCGCUGGAAAAAAUCCUGUCGGACAAGGAGGUGAAAAGGAGCCAGCACAAUCAGCUGCGGAAAGCAUGUCAAGUAGCUCUUGAUGAAAUAAAGCUCGAGCUUGAAAAACAAAAAGAUGGCACUGUGGUCCCUCCCCGAGCCAACUACAUUGAGGCAGACAAGUAUGUGUUGCCUUUUGAGUUGGCGUGUCAAUCCAAGUCACCACGGAUUGUCAGCACCUCCCUGGACUGCUUACAGAAACUUAUAGCUUACGGCCACAUCACUGGCAAUGCUCCGGACAGCAGUGCUCCUGGGAAACGACUGAUCGAUCGGCUGGUGGAGACGAUCUGUAACUGCUUCCAGGGCCCACAGACGGACGAGGGUGUGCAACUCCAAAUUAUCAAGGCUCUUCUUACAGCAGUGACCUCACCUCACAUUGAGAUCCAUGAGGGUACCAUUCUGCUCACCGUGCGCACCUGUUAUAACAUCUACCUGGCCAGCCGUAACCUGAUCAACCAGACCACAGCCAAGGCCACACUCACCCAGAUGCUCAAUGUCAUCUUCACUAGAAUGGAAAACCAGGCAGCUCUGGAAGCCCAGGAGGUGGAGAAGGAGCGCUCCCGGCUGCACCCCCCUAACCCCUCACCCGUCCCCAGCCGAGGCUCCGGAUCCCCCCGGCAGACUCACUCCUCGGAGCACAACGGCCAGCCCUCCCCUUCCCCCAGCUCCGCCGAGCUCCCCGCCACACCCACCCCCACACAGGACACACCCUCGCUCAACGGCCAACCAGAAGAGGCUGAGGCUCAGGAGCAGGAAGUGGACGGGGGAGAUGUGUCCACGGCAGAACAGGACAGAGAAGAAGCUCCAUCCUCAGAGUCUGAAGAACCGGCCGCACCUGCUGCACAGCCUGCGCUUGAGGGCGAGGGUGAUGGAGGUGGAGGAGAAGGAGCAGGAGGAGGAGGAGGAGAGCUCCAGGCACACCCAGCACCAGAGCCCCCCCAGGGUCCAGCAGGGGAGGCCCAGGGAGUGGAGCAGGAGCUGGAGCCAGCCGGAGGCCCCGCUGACCACCCUCCCGAUGGGGGAGUGGAGCAGCAGGUGGAACCCGAGCCAGAACCAGAGCCCAAGCCGUCCGACACGGCGCCCCCUCCUGGUCGGCUGGAUAGCCAACAGAUGAAUGGCGUCUUGGAUGACCGCACCUCUGUCUGCUCCACUGACAUCAUGGAUGCCGAGGCCUUGCAGGGCACCCAGUCUGCCGCUCGCUUCUCCCACAUCCUGCAGAAAGACGCCUUCCUGGUUUUCCGCUCCCUCUGCAAGCUGUCCAUGAAGCCCUUGGCAGACGGCCCUCCGGACCCAAAGUCCCAUGAGCUGCGUUCUAAGGUGGUCUCUCUGCAGCUGCUGCUGUCCGUCCUGCAGGGUGCGGGCCCCGUGUUCCGCACGCACGAGAUGUUCGUCAACGCCAUCAAGCAGUACCUGUGCGUGGCGCUCUCCAAGAACGGCGUGUCCUCCGUGCCCGAGGUCUUCGAGCUCUCGCUGGCCAUCUUCCUCACCUUGCUCUCCCACUUCAAAGUCCACCUCAAGAUGCAGAUCGAGGUGUUCUUCAGAGAGAUUUUUCUCACAAUCUUGGAAACCUCAAGUAGCUCCUUUGAGCACAAGUGGAUGGUCAUCCAGACCCUCACUCGCAUCUGCGCUGAUGCCCAGUGUGUGGUGGACAUCUAUGUGAACUACGACUGCGACCUGAACGCAGCCAACAUCUUUGAGCGGCUGGUGAAUGACCUAUCCAAGAUUGCAAUGGGCAGGAGUGGGCAGGAACUGGGCAUGACCCCACUGCAGGAACUGAGCUUGCGUAAGAAGGGGCUGGAGUGCCUGGUGUCCAUCCUGAAGUGCAUGGUGGAGUGGAGCAAAGACCUGUAUGUCAACCCCAACCUCCAGACUAACCUAGGUCAGGAGCGCUCUUCAGAUGUUGAGGGUGGGGAGGUGAAGCUCCCAGAGCAGCUGGCGGGCCGCAGGGACAGCAUCAGCUCCCUGGACUCCACGGUCUCCUCGAGCGUGCAGUCCUCCCAGCCGGACCACCCCGAGCAGUACGAGGUCAUCAAGCAGCAGAAAGAGAUCAUUGAGCACGGCAUUGACCUCUUCAAUAAGAAACCUAAGAGAGGGGUUCAGUACCUGCAAGACCAAGGAAUGCUAGGAACUUCCCCAGAAGACAUUGCCCAGUUUCUCCAUCAGGAGGAUCGGUUAGACACGACUCAAGUGGGAGAGUACCUGGGGGAGAAUGUGCGCUUCAACAAGGAAGUGAUGUACUGCUACGUGGACCAGCUGGACUUCUGUGACAAGGACUUUGUCUCGGCUCUCAGGGCCUUCCUGGAGGGCUUCAGGCUGCCCGGCGAAGCCCAGAAAAUCGACCGGCUCAUGGAGAAGUUUGCCGCGCGAUACUUAGAGUGCAAUCAGGGGCAGACGCUGUUUGCCAGUGCUGACACAGCGUAUGUGCUCGCCUACUCCAUCAUCAUGCUUACCACUGACCUCCACAGUCCACAGGUCAAAAAUAAAAUGACCAAAGAGCAGUAUAUCAAAAUGAACCGGGGGAUCAACGACAGCAAGGAUCUGCCGGAGGAGUACCUGUCCUCCAUCUACGAUGAGAUCGCGGGAAAGAAGAUCGCUAUGAAGGAAAGCAAAGAGUACUCGAUCACACCCAAGUCCAGCAAACCAAAUGUAGCCAAUGAGAAGCAGAGGCGGCUGCUGUAUAACGUGGAGAUGGAGCAGAUGGCCAAGACGGCCAAAGCCCUGAUGGAGGCGGUGAGCCACGCCCAGGCGCCCUUCUUCAGCGCCACGCACCUGGAGCACGUCAGGCCCAUGUUUAAGCUGGCCUGGACCCCUCUGCUGGCUGCAUUCAGUGUUGGCCUGCAGGACUGUGAUGACCAGGAGGUGGCGUGCUUGUGCUUAGAGGGAAUCCGCUGCGCCAUCAGGAUCGCCUGUAUCUUCAACAUGCAGCUGGAGCGAGACGCCUACAUACAGGCCCUGGCGCGCUUCACCCUGCUCACCGCCAGCUCCAGCAUCACGGAGAUGAAGCAGAAGAACAUCGACACCAUCAAGACGCUCAUCACUGUGGCACACACUGACGGAAACCACCUGGGCAACUCCUGGCACGAGAUCCUGCGCUGUAUCAGUCAGCUCGAGCUGGCCCAGCUUAUCGGCACGGGGGUGAAGACGCGCUACAUCUCCGGCGUGGUGCGUGACCGGGACGGCAGCCUCAAGGGCUUUCCCACCGGUAGCGAGGAGUUCAUGGCGCUAGGCCUGGGAACUCUGGUGGGAGGUCAAGAUCGGCGUCAGAUGGCCCACCUCCAGGAGUCCGUUGGAGAAACCAGCUCUCAGAGUGUGGUGGUAGCCGUGGACCGGAUUUUCACUGGUUCGACAAGACUGGAUGGAAAUGCAGUCGUUGACUUUGUGCGUUGGCUGUGCGCCGUCUCCAUGGACGAGCUGGCCUCUGCUCACCAGCCGCGCAUGUUCAGCCUGCAGAAGAUCGUGGAGAUCUCCUACUACAACAUGAACCGCAUCAGGCUGCAGUGGUCCCGCAUAUGGCAGGUCAUUGGAGACCACUUCAACAAGGUCGGCUGUAAUCCCAAUGAGGAUGUGGCCAUCUUUGCUGUGGAUUCUCUGAGGCAGCUCUCCAUGAAGUUCCUUGAAAAAGGAGAACUUGCUAACUUCCGUUUCCAAAAGGAUUUCCUCCGGCCAUUCGAACACAUCAUGAAAAAGAAUAGGUCUCCCACUAUAAAGGACAUGGUGAUCCGCUGUGUGGCACAGAUGGUGAACUCCCAGGCCGCCAACAUCCGCUCCGGCUGGAAGAACAUCUUCUCCGUGUUCCAUCAGGCUGCCUCCGACCACGACGAAACCAUCGUGGAGCUCGCCUUCCAGACCACCGGACACAUCGUCACAAACACCUUUCAGCAGCACUUUGCUGCAGCCAUCGACUCUUUCCAGGAUGCAGUGAAGUGUCUGUCGGAGUUUGUGUGCAACGCCGCAUUUCCAGACACCAGCAUGGAGGCCAUUCGCCUCAUCCGCCACUGCGCCAAAUACGUGUCAGACCGGCCACAGGCUCUGAGGGAGUACACUAGCGAUGACAUGAACGUUGCCCCUGGUGACCGGGUGUGGGUGCGCGGCUGGUUUCCCAUCCUGUUUGAGCUCUCCUGUAUCAUCAACCGCUGCAAACUGGAUGUGCGGACGAGAGGUCUGACGGUUAUGUUUGAGAUCAUGAAAAGCUACGGUAGCACUUUUGAGAAGCACUGGUGGCACGAUCUCUUCCGCAUCAUCUUCCGUAUUUUUGACAAUAUGAAGCUUCCGGAACAACAAACUGAGAAGACUGAGUGGAUGACCACUACCUGCAACCAUGCCCUGUAUGCCAUCUGUGACGUGUUCACACAGUUCUACGAGCCACUCAGUGAGAUUUUGCUGGAGGAUCUCUUUAUGCAGCUACAGUGGUGUGUCAAGCAAGAUAAUGAACAGCUGGCUCGGUCGGGGACUAAUUGCCUGGAGAACCUGGUGAUCCUGAAUGGGGAGAAGUUUAGUCCAGAGGUGUGGAACACCACCUGUACUUGCAUGUUGGAGAUCUUCCAGACCACCUGCCCCCAUGCCUUGUUGGCAUGGAGACCUGCAGGGCAGGAAGAGGAGGUGGGAGAUGGGAAACACAUGGAUGUGGAUGUGGACACCCUGUCCCAGAGCAGCUUUGAAAGGACGCUGUCCGACCGUGGACAGAGUCAGAUGUCCACUGCCAGUGAUGAGACCUGGAAGGGCAAGCCCCACACCAGGGUGUCUGACCAGAAGCUCUUUGCUGGUCUCCUCAUCAAGUGCGUGGUGCAGCUGGAGUUGAUUCAGACCAUCGACAACAUUGUCUUCUACCCAACCACUAGCAAGAAAGAGGAUGCUGAGAAUAUGGCGGCGGCACAGAGGGAUGUGCUGGAGGAGACAGAAGAGUUGUCGGCGGAGGCUGAUCAGGGCAUGUACAAACACCUGGCCUCACAGCACCUGUUCAAACUCCUCGACUGCCUCCUGGAGUCGCACACCUUCGCCCGAGACUUCAACUCCAACAACGAGCAGAGGACGGCACUCUGGAGGGCAGGAUUUAAGGGCAAGUCAAAGCCCAACCUGCUGAAGCAGGAGACCAGCAGUCUGGCCUGCUGCCUGCGGAUCCUCUUCCGUAUGUACUCCGACCAGAAGCUCAAAGAAUCCUGGCCAGACAUCCAGACUCGCUUAUUGCUUGUCGGCAGUGAAGCCCUAGGCUACUUCAUCAGCCUGACAUCAGAGAGUCACAGAGAGGCCUGGACCAGCUUGCUGCUUCUGAUGCUCACUAGGACACUCCGACUACCUGACGAUAAGUUCAAACCGCACGCGUCCUGUUACUACCCCCACCUGUGCGAGAUGAUGCAGUUUGAUCUGAUUCCCGAGUUGCGUGCCGUGCUGCGCCGCUUCUUCCUCCGCAUCGGCUUGGUCUUCCACAUCGCCGCCCCAGAGGCCUGCUCCACCACCCUGCAGCCUGCACCCUGAACCCAGCACAGGAGGAGGCUGGGCCAGAAGGACCCAGAUGGAAACUCAAAUGGAGCAGUGGUGGGGACCCAGGGUUGAAUUUCCAAGGGUGUCUGUGUGUGUGUGUGUGUGUGUGUGUGUGUGUGUGUGUGUGUGUGUGUGUGUGUGUGUGUGUGUGUGUGUGUGUGUGUUCCCUGUGUUGGCUAGACGUACCCGUAGCAGGGAUUUGCCUGACAGAAUGGGGGCUGAUGGUAACACCUCCCCAGUGAGAUGGGGAACAGAUUGCAGUCUGAGCCCUAGUAUCCUGACUCAUUAAUCUUCACUUAAAUUCAUUUGUGUGUGGACAGUGGUUGUACAGUAUGCAAGUGUGUGUCCAGUCCACAGUGUCAUAGAAACACAAGAUGUCCGUUCAGACAAAAGGCCAAGAUCAAAACUUUCUUUGUGGCAUUUCUUGUCCCAAAUAUUUGAUCUGUUCACUGAAAGCUGUGUUACAUCAGGCAAGUACCAAACAUGGCAGAAGCCAAUCUAAUCUGUGUUUGAGCAGUCCGCCUAGAGAGUUACAGGCCACUCUGUUGCCUCAGAGUGCAGUGAGCCAGCACCACAUGACUGAACUCUGGCCUUGGUUUCCACAUGACCCUCUUACACACACAGACUCACACAUACACACUGCCACACACACAGAAUGCUCCCGCUUAACCUGUUUGUUUUUUUUGUUUGUUUACUAACGGGAUGAUGUUGUUUGGUAGUUCAGCACAUGAUCUCGUCUUCCCUCGUUGCCACCACGUCAUCGGCUGCCACCAUCACUUUCUCCUGUUCCUCUCUCAAUCCUCCCUUUUUGCACACUGGCUCUCUGUCGCAAUCCCAUGGGCCUCCUGUGCUUCCCCUGCUGCAUGACUGACACUUUGAGGAAGGAGGAUGCCUCAUCUGUACACUGCGUUAUGAAAGCUGGCCAUCUGGCUGACCGGAGCUGGACAUUCCCCUCAUGGCAUGGAGAAAUCCAGUAGAGCACCAGCACUUUCAUCUCCCUUUUAUAAAUGUCGUCGGAAUGAUCGUACUCCGUACACGCGUAAUCUAACGAAACAUUGUGGACUUGUUUCAAGACACUGUGACAUAGGAGCUUCCGAAUUGCAGCGUUUCCCUCUUUCAAAACUUCUUUUUCUAGUCACGUUUCCUUAUAUAGGCCCUCUUUCACUCCCCUGCUGUCCUCUCUGUCCUCCCUUUACUUCCGUGUGUCCCUCUUGCUCUUGGUGAUCGGCCGAAACGGAAUAACUCACCAAUCUAACGCAAUGAGUCAGCGAACACUGACCCUUACACGCACAGAGAGCAUGAGUCCUCAGCAGAAGGACCACUUCACCACAGCAGCCGUGUGUGUGUGUGUGUGUGUGUGUGUGUGUGUGUGUGUGUGUGCACUUAAUGACUCACGGUCUCGGAAAUGGGUUGGAAAAGAGUGAGAUUACUAGGUGCCAGCAACAGCACUGAACCAGAUCAGAUGAUCCUUUUCUCAGAAACAUUGGGCUUCGAAGCUUUUACUGACCAGGGCACUCUAAGGCUACCCUACUGUUCAGACAGGAGGUUGAGUUGGUCUGACUAAUUUGUAGUGAAAGGGGACCAUCCCUUCCUCAGCAACCCAACCUUCUGAGUGCCCAUUCAUUGGGAGGAAAUAGUUUUAGCACGUUUCUUGAGUCAUAGGAGCAGUGGUGUUCUUGAAUCAUGUUUGGUGUGUCUCCCUGUCAAGACUUGACAUUGCAGGUCUCCACUUUUUGGAUGGUGGGUUCAGUUUCAGUAUGAUUCAUUUUUGGUGAGAGACUACCCCUUUCUCAGAAAUGCAUUCAUCAUCAUCAUCAACUUUUGCCAGACUCAAGCUCCAUUCAGAAGACAGACAUGACAUAAAACAUGCAUUCUUCUCAGAAGAUUCUCCUUGAUUCUCAGAAAGCUCUGGUAGUACAGGGAUAUAAGUUGACCAACAUGUAGGCUAGAUCUAAGUUGUGUCUAUAUGAAGCCGGGGUAAAUAUAUACACGCAUUUGCAGGGAAAACAAUCUCCAUCCACUAUAUAUUGUUUUUGUAUCGAUACGUUUUGCGUCAACCUCACAACACUGAAAUAACAUGUAUUUGAUGUUAGUGAUAUUUGGAACUUUUGUCUGGGUAACCGCACAUAGUCUUAUCUGAAGCACUGUUCCCCUAUACAUACAACAAUGCGAAUCAAAUGUAUCCACCUCAGAGAAGGGCUUAAAACAGAGGAGUAGUUAUCAGUAUUUAUAUUUACCCCGGCUUAAUGUGGAUAGGACCCUAGAAUCUAGGAUUGCCUUCCACAGCGGUCACCUAAGUGAGAGACACACAUUCCAUUUCCCAGUCAGUGGCUUAUCUUACAUAAAUCAGUCACUGUUUAAUGUUGACUAAUGUUCUCAUGGCCCACAGAAACAGGAAUGUCCUGUUCCAGCGUCUCUGGAAUGUGAGUCUCAUCCUCAUUCACAAAUAAAAAAAGGCUGUUCCCU